UAUUCUUCCUAUGCGGGAAGGAUGAGAAGCUUCGACCAGGGUUCGAUUCGAGCGUUAGCGAGAAAGCGUUGCCGCAGGCAACGACCCGAAGGGCGAAGCGCGCAGCGCUGAGUAAUCCUUCCCCCACCACCA
rnacentral:sRNA from 12 species